UACAUGGGGUGCAAACGUUGCUCGGAAUUAUUGGGCGUAAAGCGCACGUAGGCGGUUCGUUAAGUCGGAUGUGAAAGCCCUCGGCUCAACUGAGGAAGUGCACCCGAAACUGGCGAGCUUGAGUACGAAAGAGGAUCGCGGAAUUCCCGGUGUAGAGGUGAAAUUCGUAGAUAUCGGGAGGAACACCGGUGGCGAAGGCG
rnacentral:rRNA from 1 species